GCUCUGUGAAGUACCAUUAGCCGCGGGAAUAUCAGUAUGGUGACUCCUUACCCUGGGGAAGUGUACUUAGGCCACGGCUAGGUGAAGCCCAGGGAUAUUUCUGUUCGCCCAUGCAUCCGAGAAAGGAGUGUUAGACCUGACCCUGUUGUUUCUCCCAGCAGUGAGAACGUGGCCAUGGACAAGAAUUCCAAGUAGUGGCACUUCUGUAGACGACGCGGCCCUUUUGGGGUUACUACAGCCCAGGAAACUCACAUGCGACACGGCGCCAGCUGAAGUCCAUCUAGACCCCCGCAGACCCAAGGUCACAAGUUGAGAACCCCCUGCCGUGGACAUUCUUCUGCACCUAGUGGUGAAGCAGGUGGAGCUGCACCUUGCUCCGCCCAUUUGGAGACUGGUUCUGCACAUAUGAGUGUGCCCUGCAGCGAUCCUGCAAUCCUUCGUGACUAACAAGGACUUUCUGUGAAAACAGAUUUAUCUUUUCUUCUCUACCUUUAAGGUUUCUUGCUGUUGAGAAUAGUUAAGGGACGAGGAAUUCUUAUUGCCCCCAUUUUACAGGCAAAGAAACUAAUGCUGACCCCAACCUUACCGACCACUUGGAGGUCCCUAAAAACACAUGACCUUUGUGUUUCUCGGCUGUUAGUGGAAUCCUUUCUGUCUGCUCAUGAACUCAUCUUCAAACGCAUUCCAGGCCUUCAGAACUCUUCCGUGAGCGCAAGUCACUGGUAUGGGCCACUGUUAACUGCCGGUUAUCACCUAGAUUUUCUUAACUAUGCUUUGCCCUCUGAGGCCGUGAGCUCUUGAAUCUUCACCUUAGUCUGUAGGAGGAAAAGUUGUUUGAGAUGAUAUUUGAAUCCUUCAUUUUAGGCCAAAUUCAGAACAUAGCAAAAGGUUCUGGCUAACAUGCAGAACAGUAUGUCUGGACUCCCACUACUGUUGGUCUGCAAAGUUGAAGGCUACUCUAGGCAAAUAUGUCACCUUUAAUGUAUCUCCUUAGGAGGAGUCUUUCACCUUAUUCAUGCUCCUCAGCACCCACACCAAAAGAUUCAUGAAGUAAAUGUUACCUAGUCUCUGCUUUACCCCAUUACCCCCGGCCUGAGGACCUUUGAACCAUUUUAAAUGCUCUACCUGCCAGCCUGGCCAUCUGUGCAUUGCUUGCUCCAUCCACCCUUCUGACUCAGCUGAAAUACCACCUUCCCAAAGAAGUCUAAGUGACCACCUCAUCUAAAUUGGGUUUCCUGCCCACCCCUCCUCUAUCACUUUGCGCAUGGUUGUAUUUCUAUCACAGAACUUCCGUCCAUCAUUCGUGUCCUUCGUUUUGUACUUGUUUAUCAUAUAUCCUCUGUAGAACAGAACAUUCUGAGAAGACGGACUUUGGGUGUCUUUCUACAAAAUCCUCCAUUCCUAAAACUGCUUUACCUGUAGAUGGUCCUCAACAAAUAUCUAAAACAUUUUAAAUAACAAAUAGAUGUCAUGCUUUAACCCUACACUCCACCUUCGGCCAUACAGAAUUUUAGUCCCUGCGUCCAUGCUCUUACCUCCGUGGUUUUGUACACUCUGUACCGUUCUAACUCUCAGAUAUUCUUCAAGACUUCAUUCUGUUACUUGUUACUCUGCAACUCUAAACCCCACUCUUAGUUGAGUUGGCUGCUCUUCGGUGCUCACAAUUACCUGUAACCUCUCUGUCAUAACCAUCUCACUCUAUUCAUUUGACUGUCUCACUCAAACGACGUGUCCCUUGAUGGCAGAGACUGUUGCUCAUAACAUGGACAGUGCAUUGUUCAAUUACUGUUUUGGGGUGACAAAGUCUGUCUGUGCCUCUUUGCGUUCUCUUUCCUUCUCUCUUUUCUCCAUGUUGUACUUGUCUUUCCAUUUCUGCAACCCUUUUAAUCCUUUCCUUAGGUUGUUAUUCAUGCCUAGUGAUUCUCAUGGACAUUCCGAAAUCCCGGUUCUUAGGGCUGAAGACUAUGCUGAUCUUUGAAAUAAUAUGAGUAUCGCAUUCUGAUGAUACUUCAUUUGCAUAAUUAUUGAUAAUAGUGCCAGGUACAAUGCUAAGUGCUUUGCAGACUUUAUCACAUUUAAUCCUGACUUCAAGAAGUGGAUACUGUUAACUCCUGGCCAGGCACAGCAGCUCUCACCUGUAAUCUUAGCACUUUGGGAGGCCAAGGCAGGUGGAUCACCUGAGGUCAAGAGUUCGAGACCAGCCUGGCCAACAUGGUGAAACCCCGUCUCUACUAAAAAUAUAAAAUUAGCUGGGUGUGGUGGCACACACCUGUAGUCCCAGCUACUCAGGAGGCUGAGACAGGAGAAUCACUUGAACCCGGGAGGUAGAGGCUGCAGUGAGCUGAGAUGGCACCACUGUCAGCCUGGGCAAGACGUAGUGAGACUCUAUCUCAAAAAAAAAAAAAAAAAAAAGUGGAUACUGUUAUCCUCAUUGGCAUAAAAGAAGUCCUCACUUUGGGAGGCCAAGGCAGGCAGAUCAUGAGGUCAGGAGUUCAAGUCCAGCCUGGCCAACAUGGUGAACCCCGUCUCUACUGAAAAUACAAAAACAAGCUGGGAAUGGUGGCAGGUGCCUGUAAUCCCAGCUACUUGAGAGGCUGAGGCAGGAGAAUCAGUUGAACCCAGGAGGCGGAGGUUGCAGUGAGCCGAGAUCACGCCAUUGCACUCCAGCCUGGGUGACAGGGUAAGACUCCAUCUUAAAAAAAAAAAAAAGUCCUCACUUACUCAAGGUCACACUGCUUGUAAGCGAAGCUGGGAUACGAACCUUCAGUGAUUCUAGGACCAAACACUGACCUAAUAGAAUCACCUAGAUGGGGAUUUAUUAAUUGCCCCACCCCACCCCCAAUAUAGCCAUGAACUUUGUAUAAACCACACAGGUAAUGCCUUUUCUCUUUAAAGCCACAUGUAAUAGCAGCAAAUCUUAAGAUGAAAUGGUUAAGAGGGGGAAAAAACUAUAAAUGAGGAAGUACUAAAUGAAGGGAAGUGCACAGGUUUUGGAUGAUGGACCAGAUUCAGGGUCUGAUAAAAGUAAGAUCAAUCUACUUUAUAACUUAAUAACCCACUAAAAAGCCUUUUUUAAAUUAUAAGGGCCAUACUAAUCUCUGUAUCUUGCCAGUUUUAGUAUAUGUGCUGCCAAAGCAAGCACUAAAAAGUCUUUUUUUUUUUAACUAGAUUGCACUAGAAAGAACCACAUGGGGUUUAUUCUUCCCUCUUUCAAGAAACCUAAUGAAAUUGGGCUGAGAUUCCAAGGAACUCCUGGAAAAGAGUUAUCAGUGCCAGAAUGAAAGAUC
rnacentral:lncRNA from 1 species